UGGGAGUUCACGUGAAGUAGUGAAUGGGUC
rnacentral:piRNA from 1 species